rnacentral:rRNA from 1 species
CAUAUGACCGUACCGCAAACCGACACUGGUGCGCGAGAUGAGUAUUCUAAGGCGCUUGAGAGAACUCAGGAGAAGGAACUCGGCAAAUUGACACCGUAACUUCGGAAGAAGGUGUGCCCUAUUAGUGUGUAGUGAACAACGAAGCAUGAAUGGGUUGCAAAAAAUCGGUGGCUGCGACUGUUUACUAAAAACACAGCACUCUGCAAACACGAAAGUGGACGUAUAGGGUGUGACGCCUGCCCGGUGCUGGAAGAUUAAAUGAUGGGGUGCAAGCUCUUGAUUGAAGUCCCAGUAAACGGCGGCCGUAACUAUAACGGUCCUAAGGUAGCGAAAUUCCUUGUCGGGUAAGUUCCGACCUGCACGAAUGGCGUAACGAUGGCCACACUGUCUCCUCCUGAGACUCAGCGAAGUUGAAAUGUUUGUGAUGAUGCAAUCUCCCCGCGGAAAGACGGAAAGACCCCAUGAACCUUUACUGUAGCUUUGUAUUGGACUUUGAACAGAUCUGUGUAGGAUAGGUGGGAGGCUUUGAAGCAGGGUCGCUAGAUCUUGUGGAGCCAACGUCGAAAUACCACCCUGGUGUGUUUGAGGUUCUAACCUAGGUCCAUUAUCUGGAUCGGGGACAGUGCAUGGUAGGCAGUUUGACUGGGGCGGUCUCCUCCCAAAGCGUAACGGAGGAGUUCGAAGGUACGCUAGUUACGGUCGGACAUCGUGACGAUAGUGCAAUGGCAUAAGCGUGCUUAACUGCGAGACUGACAAGUCGAGCAGAUGCGAAAGCAGGACAUAGUGAUCCGGUGGUUCUGUAUGGAAGGGCCAUCGCUCAACGGAUAAAAGGUACUCUGGGGAUAACAGGCUGAUACCGCCCAAGAGUUCAUAUCGACGGCGGUGUUUGGCACCUCGAUGUCGGCUCAUCUCAUCCUGGGGCUGUAGCCGGUCCCAAGGGUAUGGCUGUUCGCCAUUUAAAGAGGUACGUGAGCUGGGUUUAAAACGUCGUGAGACAGUUUGGUCCCUAUCUUCCGUGGGCGCUGCAGAUUUGAGGAAGCCUGCUCCUAGUACGAGAGGACCGGAGUGGACACACCUCUGGUGUAUCGGUUGUCACGCCAGUGGCAUUGCCGAGUAGCUAAGUGUGGAAGAGAUAACCGCUGAAAGCAUCUAAGCGGGAAACUCGUUUCAAGAUGAGAUCUGCCGGGGCCUUGAGCCCCCUAAAGAGUCGUUCAAGACCAGGACGUUGAUAGGUCAGGUGUGGAAGUG